CAAGGAUUCCCCUAGUAACGGCGAGUGAACCGGGAAGAGCUCAAAUUUGAAAUCUGGCGUCCUCAGGGCGUCCGAGUUGUAAUCUAUAGAGGCGUUUUCCGUGCCGGACCGUGUCCAAGUCCCUUGGAACAGGGUAUCAAAGAGGGUGACAAUCCCGUACUUGACACGACGACCGGUGCUCUGUGAUACGUCUUCUACGAGUCGAGUUGUUUGGGAAUGCAGCUCAAAAUGGGUGGUGAGUUCCAUCUAAAGCUAAAUAUUGGCGAGAGACCGAUAGCGAACAAGUACCGUGAGGGAAAGAUGAAAAGCACUUUGGAAAGAGAGUUAAACAGUACGUGAAAUUGUUGAAAGGGAAACGAUUGAAGUCAGUCGUGACUGUUGGGCUCAGCCGGUUCUGCCGGUGUAUUCCCUUCAGUCGGGUCAACAUCAGUUUUGAUCGGUGAUCGGUGGAUAAUGGCAGCAGGAAGGUGGCACCCUCGGGUGUGUUAUAGCCUGUCGUCGCAUACAUCGGUCGAGACUGAGGAACGCAGCUCGCCUUUAUGGCCGGGGUUCGCCCACGUCCGAGCUUAGGAUGUUGACAUAAUGGCUUUAAACGACCCGUCUUGA
rnacentral:rRNA from 1 species